UACGAAGGGGGGCUAGCGUUGCUCGGAAUCACUGGGCGUAAAGCGCACGUAGGCGGCUUUCUAAGUCAGGGGUGAAAUCCUGGAGCUCAACUCCAGAACUGCCUUUGAUACUGGAGAGCUCGAGUCCGGAAGAGGUGAGUGGAACUGCGAGUGUAGAGGUGAAAUUCGUAGAUAUUCGCAAGAACACCAGUGGCGAAGGCGGCUCACUGGUCCGGUACUGACGCUGAGGUGCGAAAGCGUGGGGAGCAAACAGG
rnacentral:rRNA from 1 species